rnacentral:rRNA from 1 species
GGGGGGGGGGGGGGGGGGGGGGGGGGGGGGGGGGGGGGGGGAGGGGGCGAGGGGUUGGCUCGUGUGCCGGUGGCGGCGGGGGGGUGGGGAGGCCGUGUCUCACGUCCCGCUAGGACGGGGAUCACUGCGGGAAGACGGCGCUAAUAUCGGGUGCUAUCUUGACCAGCAUGGUUCACUCGUGCACGACGUUUUUGCUGUCCCCUAUCGAUGUGUCCGCCCCGCCGUAGCUGGUUGGUCAGGUACCUGCCUACCCAGGCGACGCUGCGGAGCCGACCUGAGAGGGUGAUCGGCCACACUAGAACUGAGACACGGUCCAGACUCCUACGGGAGGCAGCAGUAGGGAAGCUUCCGCAAUGGGCGAAAGCCUGACGGAGCAACGCCGCGUGAGUGAUGAAGGUCUUCGGAUCGUAAAACUCUGUUAUUAGGGAAGAACAAAUGUGUAAGUAACUAUGCACGUCUUGACGGUACCUAAUCAGAAAGCCACGGCUAACUACGUG